ensembl:rRNA 5S_rRNA 5S ribosomal RNA
GUCUAUGACCAUACCACCCUGAACAUCCACGAUCUUGCUGAUCUCAGAAGCUAAGCAGGGUUGGGUCUGGCUAGUUCUUGAAUGAGCGAUCUGGAUCCGGAUCAGAAUACAAUAAACA